UAGGUACCGUCAUCACAAUAAAUAUUACCUAUUGCUUAUUCUUCCCUACUUAUCGAACUUUACAACCCGAAGGCCUUCAUCGUUCACGCGGCGUCGCUGCGUCAAGCUUUCGCUCAUUGCGCAAGAUUCUUAA
rnacentral:rRNA from 1 species